CCUACGUGUGACAGCAGUGAGGAAUAUUGGUCAAUGGGCGCGAGCCUGAACCAGCCAAGUCGCGUGAGGGAAGACGGUCCUAUGGAUUGUAAACCUCUUUGGUAGGGGAGAAAAAGACGCCACGCGUGGCGUUCCGAGAGUACCCGAAGAAAAAGCAUCGGCUAACACCGUGCCAGCAGCCGCGGUAAUACGGAGGAUGCGAGCGUUAUCCGGAUUGAUUGGGGUUAAAGGGUGCGCAGGCGGAAGAUCAAGUCAGCGGUAAAAUUGAGAGGCUCAACCUCGUCGAGCCGUUGAAACUGGUUUUCUUGAGUGCGUGAGCAGUAUGCGGCCUUCGUGGUGUAGCGGU
rnacentral:rRNA from 1 species